AUUGAACGCUGGCGGCAUGCUUUACACAUGCAAGUCGAACGGUAACAGGCCUUCGGGUGCUGACGAGUGGCGGACGGGGGCGUAAUGCAUCGGAACGUGCCCAGAGGUGGGGGAUAACGCAGCGAAAGCUGUGCUAAUACCGCAUGUGAUCUGAGGAUGAAAGCGGGGGACAAAGCAGGAAUGUUUGGCCUCGCGCCUCUGAAGCGGCCGAUGUCAGAUUAGGUAGUUGGUGGGGUAAAGGCCCACCAAGCCGACGAUCUGUAGCUGGUCUGAGAGGACGACCAGCCACACUGGGACUGAGACACGGUCCAGACUCCUACGGGAGGCAGCAGUGGGGAAUUUUGGACAAUGGGCGCAAGCCUGAUCCAGCCAUGCCGCGUGCGUGAAGAAGGCCUUCGGGUUGUAAAGCGCUUUUGUUCGGAACGAAAAGCCUCUGGCUAAUACCUGGGGCUGAUGACGGUACCGUAAGAAUAAGCACCGGCUAACUACGUG
rnacentral:rRNA from 1 species